AGGGCACCACCAGGAGUGGAGCCUGCGGCUUAAUUUGACUCAACACGGGAAAACUCACCCGGCCCGGACACUGGAAGGAUUGACAGAUUGAGAGCUCUUUCUUGAUUCAGUGGGUGGUGGUGCAUGGCCGUUCUUAGUUGGUGGAGUGAUUUGUCUGGUUAAUUCCGAUAACGAACGAGACUCUAGCCUACUAAAUAGAUCGUCGGCUUACAAACGCCGGCGAGACUUCUUAGAGGGACAGGCGGUGAUUCAACCGCACGAAACAGAGCAAUAACAGGUCUGUGAUGCCCUUAGAUGUCCGGGGCCGCACGCGCGCUACACUGAAGUGAUCAGCGUGCUUUUUCAACCUACUCUGUCAAGAGUGGGGAACCCAAUGAACCUUCUUCGUGAUUGGGAUAGGGGAUUGUAAUUAUUCCCCUUGAACGAGGAAUUCCCGGUAAGCGCGAGUCAUAAGCUCGCGUUGAUUACGUCCCUGCCCUUUGUACACACCGCCCGUCGCUACUACCGAUUGAAUGUUUU
rnacentral:rRNA from 1 species